UACGUAGGAUGCAAGCGUUGUCCGGAAUUAUUGGGCGUAAAGAGCGCGCAGGCGGUUUGAGAAGUCAGAUGUGAAAGAGGCCGGCUUAACCGGCAAGGGUCAUUUGAAACUGACAGACUAGAGUACAGCAGAGGAUAGCGGAAUUCCCGGUGUAGUGGUGAAAUGCGUAGAUAUCGGGAGGAACACCUGUGGCGAAAGCGGCUCACUGGACCACAACUGACGCUGAGACGCGAAAGCGUGGGGAGCAAACAGG
rnacentral:rRNA from 1 species